CAUGUACUUUAUUGCACUGAGUUUUUCUUGCUAUACCUUGGACAAGACUGCCACCUCCUGGAAGAGCUGAUGAAUACUGGGGACUGAGAUGCAAUUAGGGAAUCGGUACUAUGAAAUUGCUUGCGUCUCAACAGCAACUCCCUCUCUCUCCUUGAAGUUAAACCAAUUCCUAACCUUUCUCAACCUGUGGGCAGCAUUUUGCAUGGAACCAAGUCUUCAAAGAACUUGCGCAUCACAAUCCUUUUACGUGAAAAUUUAAAUACAAGUUAACAUUUGUGAAGCGUUAUGUGCCAAAUGCUUUAAGGCUCACAACAGCCUUAUGAGGUAGGAACUAUCAUAAGCAGAUCCACACUGCGUAUGGGGAAAUUAAGUUUCAGGAAACGUAAGGCCAAGGCUCUGAGGCGGAAUCGCCACUUGGAGUCGGGACUCAACUGCUGAGAGCGCAAGUUCCGUAACUACGUAACCGUCUCAGGCAUGCGCAGAAAAACACUGAAGCACCUUUCCUAGGAGCUGUAAGUAGGUGGGCGUGGCGGGGCCUCUGCAAUCCCAGCAUUCCCUUCGUGCCGCCACCAAGAUGGCGGCGCCCAUCUUGCGGUCCUUUUCCUGGGGCCGUUGGUCUGGUACCCUAAAUCUCUCAGUAUUCUUGCCCUUGGGGCUGCGUAAGGCCCACUCGGGCGCUCAGGGGUUACUGGCAGCGCAGAAGGCUCGAGGUCUGUUCAAGGACUUCUUCCCGGAGACGGGGACGAAAAUAGAGCUCCCAGAGCUCUUCGACCGUGGCACGGCGAGUUUUCCCCAAACCAUUUACUGUGGCUUCGACCCCACGGCAGACUCGCUUCAUGUGGGUCAUCUACUUGCGCUGUUGGGCCUGUUUCAUUUGCAGCGAGCGGGCCACAACGUGAUCGCGCUGGUGGGAGGCGCCACGGCGCGCCUGGGAGACCCGAGCGGCCGUACCAAGGAACGCGAGGCGCUGGAGACAGAGCGCGUGCGAGUCAAUGCGCGCGCCCUGCGCCUAGGGCUUGAGGCCCUGGCGGCUAAUCAUCAGCAGCUUUUCACUGAUGGGCGCUCCUGGGGCAGCUUCACUGUGCUAGACAACUCGGCCUGGUACCAGAAGCAGCACCUGGUGGACUUCCUGGCGGCAGUGGGGGGUCACUUCCGCAUGGGGACGCUGCUGAGCCGGCAGAGCGUGCAGCUGCGGCUCAAGAGCCCCGAGGGCAUGAGCUUGGCCGAGUUCUUUUACCAGGUGCUCCAGGCCUAUGACUUCUAUUACCUCUUCCAGCAUUAUGGAUGCAGGGUCCAGCUGGGCGGAUCUGAUCAACUAGGCAACAUCAUGUCCGGAUAUGAGUUCAUCAACAAGUUGACUGGAGAAGAUGUAUUUGGAAUCACCGUUCCUCUAAUUACAAGUACAACUGGAGCAAAGCUGGGAAAGUCUGCUGGCAACGCUGUUUGGCUAAACAGAGAUAAGACAUCUCCAUUUGAAUUGUAUCAGUUCUUCGUCAGGCAACCAGACGAUUCAGUGGAAAGGUACCUGAAGCUGUUCACUUUCCUGCCCCUUCCAGAAAUUGAUCAUAUCAUGCAGCUGCAUGUCAAAGAGCCAGAAAGGCGGGGUCCUCAGAAACGACUGGCAGCAGAAGUAACAAAGCUUGUUCAUGGACGAGAAGGAUUGGAUUCUGCUAAAAGGUGUACACAAGCCCUUUAUCACAGUAGCAUAGAUGCACUGGAGGUCAUGUCUGAUGAGGAGUUAAAAGAGUUGUUUAAAGAAGCUCCAUUUUCUGAAUUUUUUCUCGAUCCUGGAACAAAUGUCCUAGAUACCUGCCGCAAAGCAAAUGCCAUUCCAGAUGGCCCCCGAGGAUAUCGAAUGAUAACAGAAGGCGGAGUCAGCAUAAAUCACCAACAAGUAACAAAUCCUGAGAGUGUUUUAAUUGUUGGACAACAUAUUCUCAAGAAUGGACUUUCCUUACUUAAAAUAGGAAAAAGAAAUUUCUACAUUAUAAAAUGGCUUCAGUUAUGAUGAAAAGUCCUUCUGGUUGUCCAAAUAAACUUACCCAUCAUUCAUUCUCAAGACCUCUGAAGGUUGGCUCCAGAACUUAGACCUUUGCUUAUGCAAAUCAGAAAAACAGAAUGGACUAGGACUCAGUGCAGCACAGCAUGGCUUUAGUGUUCAAAUUCUAGCCAUUUACUACCUGGAUUACUUGGAUCAAGUCACUGUCUUCAUAUGCAAAAAUGGAGAUGUUAUAAUACCUUGGUGAACUGUCAGAAUCUGGUAGGAAAAAAGUCAUAAAAUUUUUCUCUAUACGGUUAUGUUCCAAAGUAGAUUUAGGUAUUAAAAAGCUCCUUUUGUCUCCCUUUCUCUGGGAGAAAAGUUAAGAAUUCAUUUUUUGACAAACUUUAAUGUCAUUUCAUACCAGCAAUUUUAUUUACACAGCAAGAACAUACAGGUAUCGUCAGAAAUCAUCUCUACAUUUCAGAUCUCGACUCAGUUUAAGGGCCAACAAAGGAAGGCUUUUCUCUUUCCAUUAGGUUUCUUGCCUCUGUUUUUUGUUGUACAAAGUGUGUAGUACUAGCAAGUGCAUUACCAUAGCAUGUCUUUAAUUUUCAAUUUGAAAUCUGAUGUGCUGGAGAAAAGUGCAUCGUAAGUUUUUGUUGUUUUUUUUCCCCUUACAAAUUCAAAGGACUAGAAUAGUGGUAGUCAUCUGGAAAAAGUAAAUCACGGAUGGCUAUAAUUUUGAAACUGAUGUUUAAUGAUGGCAGUGAUUUUUAAGUGUGGUAACAAACGUUUUGGGAGCAUGUAUCCUCUGUCAAGAUGGUACUAGUAACAGAUUCAAAGUAGUACCAUAUCGUAUCAGACUGAUGUGGGGGUUUUUAUGUUUGACAUCAGUUGGUGAGCCUGUUGUUCCUUAGUAAAUUGAUGCCGUAAGCUAAAGUUAACAUAUUCAUAUUUUCCCUGCCAAUAGUCCUUCAUAAAUACCUGGUCAUAAACUGAAAAAAAAUUAAUAUCUAUCUGCAAUAUAAAUGUGUUGUCUAUUAGAGACGGGGCUAGAUGUCUUCAGGAUUUCUAAGUACAUCUUAAAAUUUAUAAUGUAGUAGUUCAUACCAAGAAUCAUCUGGGAAAUUUUAACAAAAUAUGUAUAUGUUCUAAACCUCAUCACUACCCCAUAAAUGCAGCUUAGGUCUGUAAGUCUGAAGGAGUAUGUGUAUCUGGGUGGUUUCGUGUUUUUUUUUUUUUUUGAGACGGAGUUUUGCUCUUGUUGCCAAGGCUGGAGUGCAAUGGCACGAUCUUAGCUCACCACAACCUCCACCUCCUGGGUUCAAGCAAUUCUCCUGCCUCACCCUCCCGAGUAGCUGGGAUUACAGGCAUGCGCCACCACGCCCGGCCAAUUUUGUAUUUUUAGUAGAGACGGGGUUUCUCCAUGUUGGUCAAGCUGGUCUCCAACUCCCGACCUCAGGUGAUCCACCUGCCUCGGCCUCCCAAAGUGCUGGGAUUACAGGCGUGUGCCACCACGCCCGGCCUUGGGUGUUUUUCUUUCAGCUCCUCCAGUACUUUCAUACUAUUCUAAUAUAUUUUGUUGGUAUGAAGCUAUGAAGCAAAAGUAGCUAUUACCAAUGCAUACAUACAGUACAUUGGUUUUAAGUUAAGUUCCACCUCAAAGUGAGUCUUAGAGCCUGGUGUAAGUGCUCCACUUUAGAGAUGUACCUUAAUUACUACUGUAUUUGCGAAUUAAGGGAAAUUUAGGUCAUCAUUUGAUUUUCUGAAAUCUAAAAGGAACUGGCCAUCAUUACCAAGUCUUUCUAGAUAAUCAAGGGUAGAUGGCUGUUUUUAAUGUAGGAAUUAAUGCAGGCAUUCCUGCUUUCAGGUUUAAGUAUGAAUCAAAGCAUAUUUUAAUUUGCUAGCGCAAAUGGACCCAGAAUUGGAAGGGCUAUGUAACUACACAGUAUGCACACCACAGCCAUGUCAGUGUCACAGAUCCUCUUGUGCAUU